GCUAGCUCAACUGGUAGAGCACCACUCUCUUAAAGUGGUUGUUCUGGGUCCGAGUCCCAGGCGGCUCACCA
rnacentral:tRNA from 1 species